rnacentral:rRNA from 1 species
GACGAACGCUGGCGGCGUGCUUAACACAUGCAAGUCGAACGAAGUGGCGAACGGGUGAGUAACGCGUAAUCAACCUGCCCUUCAGAGGGGGACAACAGUUGGAAACGACUGCUAAUACCGCAUACGGAAGGUGGGGAUUGCGUCUGAUUAGCUAGUUGGAGGGGUAACGGCCCACCAAGGCGGUGAUCAGUAGACUGGUUUGGGAGGAGGACGGCCCCAUUGGGACUGGGGAACGGCCCAAGCUCCUACGGGGGGCAGGAGUGGGGAAUCUUCCGCAAUGGGCGGAAGUCUUGCGGAGCAAAGCCGCGGGAGUGAUGACGGCCUUCGGGUUGUAAAGCUAUGUUAAUCGGGACGCGGUACCGGAAUAGAAAGCCACGGCUAACUACGUGCCAGCAGCCGCGGUAAUUC